rnacentral:sRNA from 1 species
CCCUAGCCCCGAUAGUAGUGAAAAUCCUUCUUGUUUUUUCUUUAAAAACAAGAAGAUUGCAACGUAUAGCGGGAAAUAGC